GAAAAUCAUUUUUAGUGGAUACAUUUUCAGAAAAUAUAUUUUAGACGAUGAAAAUGUAAUACAUAAUUAUUAUUGAUUACAGACAAUAAGCAUGAUGUACAUGAUGUACCUUAUUAUUCUUUUAAACGAUCUACUGAGGACACAGCGGUGACCACUAAAUUGAAUCCUUUGGACGCAAUGAGAACAUGUU